AUGGGGAUUUGCCAUGGGCGCAGCCUGAUGCAGCGACGCCGCGUGAGGGAUGACGGCCUUCGGGUUGUUAAACGCUUUCGGUAGGGAAGAAGCGAAAGUGACGGUACCUGGAGAAGAAGGACCGGCUAACUACGUGCCAGCAGCCGCGGUAAUACGUAGGGUGCGAGCGUUAUCCGGAAUUAUUGGGCGUAAAGAGCUCGUACGGGGUUUGUCGCGUCUGUCGUGAAAGUCCGGGGCUUAACCCCGGAUCUGCGGUGGGUACGGGCAGACUACAGUGCAGUAGGGGAGACUGGAAUUCCUGGUGUAGCGGUGGAAUGCGCAGAUAUCAAGAGGAACACCGAUGGCGAAGGCAGGUCUCUGGGCUGUAACUGACGCUGAGGAGCGAAAGCAUGGGGAGCGAACAGGAUUAGAUACCCUGGUAGUCCAUGCCGUAAACGUUGGGCACUAGGUGUGGGGACCAUUCCACGGUUUCCGCGCCGCAGCUAACGCAUUAAGUGCCCCGCCUGGGGAGUACGGCCGCAAGGCUAAAACUCAAAGGAAUUGACGGGGGCCCGCACAAGCGGCGGAGCAUGCGGAUUAAUUCAAUGCAACGCGAAGAACCUUACCAAGGCUUGACAUGUUCUCGAUCGCCGUAGAGAUACAGUUUCCCCUUUGGGGCGGGUUCACAGGUGGUGCAUGGUUGUCGUCAGCUCGUGUGCGUGAGAUGUUGGGCUUAAGUCCCCAGCAUACUAGCGCAACCUCUCGUUACCAUGUUGCCAGCAUCGUAGUGAUGGGGCACUCAUGGGGAGACUGCCCGGGGGUCAACUCGGAGGAAAAGGUGAAGAACAACGUU
rnacentral:rRNA from 1 species